CAUUGAUGGUGAUGCUUUCCAGACAAUGAGUGAUGCUGGAUUUCCUGGGUUACGCAAAUAGCCUAGUACUCAGACUAGGUAGAGAGAUCUGAAAGCCUAUCUUUAGGUUUUCCGUGGUUUGAGGGGUUCGAAGUGUUGAGUUUAGGUAGGCCUACGCAAUGUUUUCCUUUCAAAAAUGCAUUAUUGGUCAAAAUUCUGAGUUUGUCAAGACUGGUAUAAUCGUUUGUUUGUGAUUCUAGGAGUGAUUCCAGCCAAUGGGAAGGUGGAGGUGACCGUCACAUUCAGACCGUUCCAGUAUGACACGUCCCAGGUCACUCUACAGGUGGUCAUCUCCCAGUUCAACUCCAAACCCUAUGUCUGCAGCCUCAGCGGGUCCUCCUCGCCCCACCUGACACUUACGUAUGCCAGAACCAUUUUGAAAUGUUAAAGUCAACAGGAGAAAGACAUGGGACACGCAAAAUACGUUUUGUUUGUUGACAGUCAAGGGCCUCCACCUGUCUCCUUGAGACAGCCUCUGACCAAAACCAAGCAGAGGUCAAUUCGGACACCUGAAAAGUCAAAGGCACCGGUGGGCACGCCUUCCUUUCGCAUGUACUCCAGCAGUCAUCUGGAGAUCAGGCAGAGAGCUCUGAGGCUCUUCCAGCAGGCAGCCCGCAAGGAACAGUACUUAGCCCUCUCUCUUUCACUCCAUUGGCCUUAAAUUAGGCCCUAUAGGCAUCGAGUGCCUCAUCCCAUCCCACUCAACACAACGGUUUCACUCACAAACCACAAGCCAAAACCCUGUGAGGCGGUGUGUAUACUCUCUAUGAUAACGAUCUUAAGACAUGUCAUAAAAUUGUGUAGUAGUCCCUGUCGUAUGUCUGGGAUGGGAAUUCCUAAGGUAAGCUAUAUUUAAUGAUGUAGCCUACAUUCAACCAAAUGACAAACUGUAAAACCAGUAUGUUUUACAAUAUCUCAUAGGCAGUUGGAAAGCUGACAAUGUCCAAGUCCUGGUUCUCUUUAAUAUCAAAUGUAUCCCAAUGCACACUUGAAAACAUUUUUGGGUUUUGUAUUUAUAUCAUUCUCUAUUUGAGCAAGAAACAUGUACCGUAACAGAUGUCAUACAGCAGGAAGAGGGUUUACUCACAAACAUGCAUAACCUUUCGAAACAACACAACCUCUGAGUGCACCAUGUGUUUCAGGUGGUGAUUCAAUGUCGUGUGAACAACAGACUGGUCUCGUUGAGGCAGCUGACUCAAAGCUUGAAGCGCCUGUCCACAGGAGUAAGAGGUAUUGCACUGUUGAGACCCCACAGGGAAAACGUGUUCUCUAUUUGACACAGGUAUAUGAUCAAAAUACAUACCUGAACGAUGCAGCACACGCAUUUGUUGUGCCAAAAUUUAAAAAAAUAUAUUUUCAAAUGAUGUGAACCCCCAAGUCAUUUUGAUGUUGGAAGCAAGCAAGAUGCAUGCAUUUUUCUGUUUUCAGUUGAGGAGGAGCCCCUUCAUCCCCUGAAGAUCUCACCAGACAACGUGAUUCCUUUCACAUUCUGAUCAACUGGUAAAUGCAGUGCACUUUGAUCAAAAGCCAUCUUGUUCUUGCGUGGACUACUUGAAAAGAAGGGACACUGAUUUGAUUUGCCCAGUAGCUUGUAUUCAUUAAAAUGAUUUAGUGAAAAUGACCAUAACGUCGUGUUGGCCUUGUACUUUAUGCCCAGGCUCCCAAUGCAUGGGGUGCCGUCCAUGUUAGGCCCAUUGAGGCCCUGGUCAAAUGACACACUCCGUUCAUCAAACUGAAGGUACGUUUACAUGAGAGUUCUUUGCCUGAAUAAAGAAUCGUUGAUGUUGCUUGUACAUUGUAGCACUAACAACGAGCUAUGUUUGCCUUUCAGUCACUCAUGUAAACGUACCUGCUGAUGGUGACAGGGAUUUUGCUUAGAAAUUGUACAGUAACGUGCUCACUUGUGUCACAUUACGUGUGUUGUUUUUCAAGGUUCCCCAGCACUACAAGUUAAUGGGGUACCAGCCUGUUUCGGCCUUUGAGGCUGCCGCUAGCUACAUCCCCCCCCAUCCCAGCCCAGGACGCUAUGCACUGGGACACAGGUGAGCCAAGAGACUCACCACCAACACUGUGGGAGACUUACGUAGGUGGUGUGCAAUACACAGAUCCAUUUAUACAAAGGAAAUACAUCACAGUCAAUCCUUUAAGCCUUUUAUGAGACGAUGUACACGUGAUAUAACAUAAACAAUGAUGUGAAUCAGCAAUAACCCUGAGAACUCUGAAUGGUUUGAUUGAUUACUUAAUGGUGUCACUGU
rnacentral:lncRNA from 1 species